GCCUGCAGAAUAGCUCAGUCAGCAGAGCAUGAGACUCUCAAGGUUGUGGGUUUGAACCCCACAUCGGGCA